UGAAUGUUGAAUCAAGAUAAGGCUGUGCUUCUUGGCGAGUAAGGGCUUUGGACCAUGCUACUCUUCCACUUCUAUCAGCUCCCUUGCCUCGACACAUGUAUUCUCCGAACAACACAGUCCUGUAAGACCAGGCUCUGCCCAAGAAGACAGCUCCAGCUCCAUGUACUGUGCAGUUCACAAAGGAAAAAACUCCAUCGUCGUUGCCGGAUUGUCUACGCUGGGCAGCUAUGGCAAAUGAUUGCCCCACCACAGAGAGGCUGCAUUCCUGUUGGAAUCAUUUUUCAACAAUCUGGAUUCAGAAAUCUCAAAGUGCAUUUUUAUCUUACCUUAUAGAGUGAUCUUGCAUUGCCGAAUAUGAAAUCGAUUGAUCCUUGAACCAUACACUUGAAGAAAAAGUGUGUUCCAGUUUCAUCCAAGAGGGUAUCCUGUGAGCCUAUAAAUCUGGAUUUGUACAACACAGAGUGGUCACCGGAUAUUCUGAAAGCGACAGCUUGAUUUCCUCGAGCUCCGGCAUGAAACUGCACCGUGUUCUGCCAAGAAAAAACCUCGAGUUUGAGCUGAGCUGAGUAUUUGAGAACUGGAUGGUUAAAAUGGUGUUAUUACCUGAAAAGUGAUCCCUGCAGCGCAAAAGUAGUCUGAUUCUACUGUGACAGAGGCUGAUCCAAACGUUCCAAUCUCAGCGCCAUUCUCAUCCACGCUCGAAGCUUUGUCGUGCCAUGCGAUGACGGUUGCGUCUGCCUUUUCGGGGUCUCCGAUGAAGGAAAUAUAUGGCUUCGUUGCAGGAACAUGAACCUUUUCACUGUUUAUGGUAAACACAAUCUAGAAUAAGACUAUUUUUGGUAU